GAAUUUCCCUCUGUUAUCGAUGAGGGCGAGUCGCUGGUCACGUGACGCAGCAGAGCAAAGAUGGCGUCCGUAGCAGAACCUCUCACUCUCCAACAAGAUGUCAAAAGGGCUGUGGAACUACUGGAUAAACUUCAGAAAACUGGAGAGGUACCAUCAGCUAAAUUGGCAGCAUUGCAGCGUGUUCUUCAGUCAGAAUUUCUAACAGCUGUUCGAGAAGUAUAUGAACAUGUUUAUGAGACUGUUGACAUCUCGGGCUCACCUGAAAUCCGUGCAUCUGCUACGGCAAAAGCAACAGUUGCUGCCUUUGCUGCAAGUGAGGGCCAUGCCCACCCAAGAGUUGUAGAGCUUCCCAAGACUGAUGAAGGAUUGGGGUUUAAUGUGAUGGGAGGCAGAGAACAGAAUUCACCCAUUUAUAUAUCCCGCAUCAUCCCUGGUGGUGUAGCGGAUCGCCACGGUGGUCUGAAGCGAGGAGACCAGCUGCUAUCUGUGAAUGGAGUGAGUGUCGAGGGUGAGAACCAUGAACGUGCGGUGGAGUUGCUGAAAGCUGCCAGCGGUUCGGUCAAGCUGGUGGUCCGAUACACCCCGCGAGUGUUGGAGGAGAUGGAGAUGCGUUUCGACAAACAGCGGGCGUCACGUAGGCGAACUUCCCAAUUACAGUAGUGACUUCCCUAGUGGAGGACUGGCGAGAGCUGGUGUAACUCCAUGCGAGGGAUGGGGAACAAGCUGAGAGCCAGCCAGGUGGAGGACAGUGGAAUUAAGAGAUCGCCACAGCAGGUUGCAGCUCCAGACCAAAGAUGACCAUUCUUUCCAAUUUGUAAUCUUUUAGUCAUAAAUUCCUCGACCCCCUGUGUCUUGUGCAUCCAUAGCCCUCACCCUCACCCACCCAUCUGCUGGGUUUCUUGUAAGCCAUUAACAGCCCUCCCUUUAGUCUGUUCUCAUGUAGGAAAAAAGGAACCUUCAUCGUAAUAUUGAUAUCAAAUCCUGUACUGUAAUGCUUUAAGAAUGACAGAUUUUAAUGUAAAUUUCUUCCUCUUUUUUAAAGGUUUGCUUACUUUGCAAUUCUGGCCUAGUUUCCGUUUGAGAUAUUUUGCUAUCUUGCUAUACAUACUGUAAUUUGUAUAGGUAUAACAUUGUUUUCAAAGGAAAUUUUAACCGGGUUACACCAAAAGUUGUCAUUAAAGUUUGACAUGUAUUUAUAUUAACUUUCUGAAAUAUUAGUGAUGACUUUCUUUCAAAUCCAUAACCCAUUAUGUGUGUAUUAAAGCAUAUGUGUAAAUUCCCAUUGUUCUUAAAGGUAAGGGCAGCUAUAAGAGUAUGUAUGGGUGUAUGCUUGUGGGUAGUAAUAUUUUUUCUUUCUACUUUUUUCAUAUUCCUUGGCAUGAAUUUUUUGUUGUAAGGUUAACAUAUCAUUUUUAAGUAGCCAUACAUUGCAUAUAGAAACUGGAUGCUGACCAAUCAAAAUAUAUAUCUGUGUCCUAUACCACAUUGAUUUUGUUGGUACAAUAAUGGAGAACAGGAUUGACACUGUGUUCUGCUAGUCUUUGGUAUGUAUAGUUCAUGUAUUUUGAUUGCCAAUCUUAUUUCAUCAUUAUGCAUUUCCAUUUAUUGCAGAUAUAUUGAACUCUUGUUCAAAUUUAAUUUCCCAUGGAUAAACUUUUAAGAUUUCUGAUAUGUAUUGAAAUGUUAUGAAACGGUAUAGAUGUAUAUCAAAUAUACUUAUAAGAAUGA
rnacentral:misc_RNA from 1 species